GCACAAUCAUCCUGAUAUGUAUACUAAAAAGAAAACACAAUAAGGCUAUAUUUACCCUCUAUUUUAAGUGUUUACUGUCUACCUGCUCAUCUACUUUUAUCCUAUCUCUCAAUAAACCAUUACAGAUAUGACCACAUAUGGUCGAAUUAUCUAACAUUUUAACACUAUUGUACAUUUUCCAGAAGAACAAUUUCUAGGAAGAGAAUGUAAAGGUGCCGGAAUACUAAUGUUCUAGGGGGCUGGCAUUUCUCCCAGAAGUGUUACAAAUAAACACCUGAACACUUUCUCCUUCAGAACCAGAAGGUUUAAAUAGAAUUCUAUUUAGGUUUUUGAAUUGUGACAUAUGUUAAUCCCAAUGAGAGUCUCUGCGUGAAAGGAAUGUUAGCAGAAUUUUAACAUGGUAUUAUGAGGAUAAUUUGCCACUUUGAGUAAAAAUGCUAUACAUUUUCUGACCUUUGGGAGUUUAAACCUAUAGGAAAGAAGUCAACAAACUAUAGUUUGAUGAUCUGAGACCAACCAUUAUGCAUUAAGAGGAGUGGGAGAGAUUAACAUACACAGUGGAUGUGUAACAAUGACGUAUGUGACAAUUCAAAUAAAUCCCAAGAGUCUUCUUUGAAGUCUUUAAUAUGAACCAUCAAGGCAUAAAGUUAAGGUCACAGAGCUGUUGUCCUUAUAUCCCAGAGUGGAGGUGCAGAAUUCUCACUCUGGUGAAGACUGACAGGAUCAUCUACUAAAUACAAAGGAGUUAAAAUUCUCAGAAAGAAAAAUGGAAUUUUUUUGGAAUUCAGCUAGAGACAUGGAUUUGGAAAGAGAAAGAAAAAAUUAGUCUUUGUUUGUUUGUAAUGGCCAGUUGAUAAGAGAAAAGUGAUCCUAGAAAUUAUAGUCCCUGCUACUCAGUCCUGGAGCCACUGAGGGAAAAAUACAACCGAAACUUUCAAUACCUAAUGAAUUUUCUCCAACUUAC
rnacentral:lncRNA from 1 species